rnacentral:lncRNA from 1 species
UUAGGGUGCCCAUGGACAUGUGGGUGCCUUGGCAGAAUGCUUCAUGUUCCCAGGCCAUCCCUUCCCAAAGCCCACCUUUGCUUCUGUCGUUUUCUCUGGCUAUGCAUUUGCAUUUAAAUAAUCAUUGUCUUGAGCUUUCUGAUUGGGGCAAUGGUGACCAUGAGGGAGGAACCCACGGGACCCAGUGCUGGGGUCAAGGUGGUUGGGACCUUUCCCUGCCUCAGGGGUGGUACAUCCAAGUAUUAGAAACCACCGCUGUGUGCUUUAAGGGGUGGCUAGGACAGACUACAGCCCUCAGCACUGUGGCUUGUCAUCCCCAGGACAGGACUGGGGAGUGCCUCAAGCGCACCGGAGCCAGCGUGGCCCUCACCUCCAUCAGCAAUGUCACCGCCUUCUUCAUGGCCGCAUUGAUCCCUAUCCCUGCCCUGCGAGCGUUCUCCCUCCAGGUGAGUUUGCCAUGGGCAGAUCCCUGUCUGUGGCUUGGCUGUUCAGCAUCCUUGCUCUGCUCUAUUAGAGUUCAACACUUAGGUUACAAAUCAGGUGCAUGGCAGCAGCAUUUGGGUCUCGGUGCUGCUGGGUGGGUGCUCCAAGGCAUGACCUUGGCACUCCUUCCUUCCAAAACAGGCUCCAAGGUUCUUUGCCUUCUUAGACCUUAUUAUCCAGAAGCUGUUAACCUGUGGAGUGCACUGUGCAGUGCAGGUCAGUGGGGCCAAGGAUACUCUUUAGCGUCCUCGUUGGCUGGCUUCUACUUCUAGACUACUCCCCUUCCAGUCACCUCAUAUCUCCUUUCCCUAAACAGCUCUGGCCCCACCUCAAGACCUUAGAAGACCCUACUGGUAUAUGGCAAUAGGGUUGCCUGAACCCUGGGCCUGGCAGUUACUGUCACUCACACUGUGUAACGGUGUGUUAGCCACUUGGCUAUGUACUACAGGGGCACCUCUUGGGGAUCAUGUUUGCCACUGUCUUUUCUUUGUUGGCCUUUUGCAUUCUCUCCUGUACCUUUGGUUCCUUACUCCUUAGGCUGCUUAUGCAAGCUUAGAGUGCCUGCCACUCACCAUGUGCAAGGGCUGUGUUGCUGGUCUCAUUACUCUACCCACUUGCUCCAGCCGUGGGGCUCUCAUACCCAGGCAAUCAGCCUGAAGAGUCUGUUUCCAGGUGUGAGAGGGGCAGCUGUGAGCCACAUACCUAGUAGUUGUGGUAGUCCGUAGCAAGCCAGAAGUGGUCACUAUAGCAGAGGAAGCAGGCUCUCAUGUAGUUGAUGACACAGCAGAAGGUAAUUGAAUUAAGGUCAAGUUUUUAAAGCGACAACUGAAGAGAACGUUUGUCUCCAUUUUCCUUAGGGUAGGAUCUACAACUCACUAGGUGGCCAGCUGCUUGAAGAAAUCACUUGGAUGUGUUUGUGUGAAACUGUUGUUAAGUUUGUACUCCUCCAUGCUACCUGCUCAGGUGCUAGUAAGGACUAUGAUCAGGAAGAAGAGGUGACAAAUGAUCUUGUGUUCCUAUUUAUAUUCUUGGAUACACAUUUGUCACUUACGUAGAAACAAUCCCAUAGGUGUUUGAACUUAGUCUCCCUGCCUGCUGUGAGCGAGGCGCAAGCCCUCCUUAACAUUUAGGGUAAGCUCUGAGACUAUGAGAAGAGUCUCUGUCAGUCACAAGUACCAACUCCUGAGGAGGAAAAGAGUAUCAGAAAGAGGCUUAUUAUAAAUGUUUAUGAAAACAGAGAUAAGAGUCGGUUAGUGAAGUCAGAUCUGCUUCUGGACAGAGACCCAAGGAGAUGAAAAUAGCCAAGUGCUCUAUAAUAGGAAAAAUAAAGGAAAGAUACCCCUGGUCUUGGUGGUACCGCUGGCCUUUCGGGAGGCUGUUUUGCACAGGCAUGUGUCUGUUGCAUGCUCUUGUUCGUGUGCAGCUGACUCUGGAAUGGCAAUGGUUCUGGAGUCCUUUAAUAGUGGGACCCUCUCUGUUCACGCUGUCCUUUCCACUGCCUGUCCCCUUGCUGUGCGCUCCCUGCUCUGCUCUGUCAGCUUGCACACACGUCUUCUUUCCCUCAUUCUCUCUCUCCUCUCCACUCAGUACUGAUGGUUCAUCAAGGCAAACUCUCCUCCCUUAUUGGUAUCCCACGGUGUGGUCUCUGAAAGCUACGUUGAGUUUUCCCUGAGGAUAGCCUUUUAGAAAAUCCAGUACGCUAAGUUCUCCCAAGGUAAGCACCUUACAGAGAC